GACAGAGGCCUCAAGCGUUAGGCGGAAUCACUGGGCUUAAAGCGUGUGUAGGCGGAUCGUUAAGUGUCUUGUGAAAUCCCACGGCUCACCCGUGGAACGGCUGGGCAUACUGGCGAUCUUGGGCCAACUAGGGGCAACUGGAACAAGCGGUGGAGCGGUGAAAUGCGUAGAUAUCGCUUGGAACGCCAAAGGUGAAAACAGGUUGCUGGGGUUGUGCCGACGCUGGAGACACGAAAGCCAGGGGAGCAAAACGGG
rnacentral:rRNA from 1 species